rnacentral:rRNA from 1 species
GUCUACGGCCAUGCCACCCUGAAUGUUCUCGAUCUUGUCUGAUCUGAGAAGUUAAGCAGGGUCCAGCCUGGUUAGUACUUGGAUGGGAGACCACCUAGGAAGACCAGGUACUGUAAGCA